rnacentral:lncRNA from 1 species
CAGGUUCGUAACUCCAGCACACAGAUAAGGAGAAAGCAACGUGAGUGAAACUGUUGUCACCUCAGAACAAAUCAGUGACGACAGCCUGCCUGGUUGCUUGUGUCCUCAUUAUACACGAGAGUCGUGCACGAGAGUCCCCAAUGAAGCUUUAAAAUGAAGAAUGGCAUCGACGACAGUGGGUAUAUUGGUGGCUUCCCAAAUCAUAGGCCAUGUCCCAAUCCUUAGAACCAGAGAACAUUACCUUAAUGGCAUGGGAGUGGAUUUACCUUAUAUGGUGAUAGAGGUGAUUGAAUUAAGGAUCCUGGGAGACUGAUUAUCCAGUCUGCAGUGUAUAGUGGAAUAGAAGGGCUCAGCCCCCAGGAGAACCUCAUCUGAGGACCCAUAACCUGAGGGUGCUAUUGCAGGAAAAGCCAAAUGGAAGCUCCCAGAGCUGCCCUCCCUGCCAGAGAGUCAAAGGAAAGCAGAAACAUUUUCCCGAGGGAACGGCAGGGAUUUGUGUCGUCAUCAGAGACUGGAAAUACACAAGGAUGGUUAUACUUCUAUCACCAUCUUGGCGCAGAUGACCACAAGCUUAGUCAGGAAGAGAUUCCUAUUGCACUGAUUCGAUUUACUUACUGCAACAGAUCAGCAUGGACUCCGGCCCCUCAGGGGCAGCUACUUAUUGAGAAGAUGCAUUAGUCUACCUCAGUGAAAACACUGAUCACGAAGCAGUUUGCCUUGACCUUACAAGACACCACAAGCUGUCCACCUUCACUGCUGUGUUCCAAGGUUAUGUCCGAUGCUCUUUCUCCGCCACGAUUGGGUACAGAGGAUUGUACCCAAUACCACGAUUGGUCAUCUCGUCUCACCAUCUCAAGUGAUUUUAUUUUAGUUUGUCACAUCGAUGGCAAGUUGGAGUGUCUGGAGAGUAGAGGAACCUACACACUUAUGCCUUGAUGAGCAGCAUGAGAGGGUCCUGACACCUGAGACCAUGAGGCCCUCAAAUGAUGCUUCCAGGCAUCCCAGCCAGCGACAGAGACAGCGAAGCCUCACUAGUCUGGUUUCCAUACCUCCCGCUUGCCUUGAGCCUGGCUGACACAUGCCCUCCUUGUGAUGGAUGUCACACUCAACAGCGACAAGCAUUUGGGCACUUGGCGGAGAUUGUCCUGGGAAGGAAGCGUUCUUGUUGUCAUAAGGACAAAUGACUCAGUGAAUAUGAGCCUGGCAAACAGCUCCUGCUUCUAUGAACAGCCACGGACACCCCAAAGAAACCAUCGGGUACCAACACUGGCUUGAGACACGAACAAGCGUAUGGUGACGUGUACUGUUUCAGCUUCCAUCCAAAGACACUGCUCUAACUGGAUCAGCAUUCUUUGCAGAGUUAGAGGUACCGGAUGGAAGAUCCUUGGAUAACAAAAAUCAGGCAACCCUGUGGACCCAGUGAAGAUGGAAACACACCCCGGUCAACACUCAUGCGGGGAUGGCGCGGGAGAAAAUAUUGAUGCUGUCAGCCUGGAGUUAAUAUAUUUUGAGAACCACUGAGUUGGAGAAAUGAGAAGGACAUAACUGGAUCUAUCUGGAUCUUUGUAAUGGAUGAACCCAGUGAAUGGGGAAGCAUGCAGACAGCCCAGGUGUACACGGCACUUUAUGAAUAUUGGACAACUAUAGGAAAUGCAACUACGAGAUUUCUCCAGAGGAGGUCUGUGUGCCUUCUGUGAGUUGCUCCCUGGGAGAUGGAGGUCUGUGUGCAUUCUGUGAGUUGCUCCCUGGGAGAUGGAGGUCUGUGUGCAUUCUGGGAAUUGCUGUCUGGGAGAUGCUUAUGCCAGCAUCCUGGAAGCAGCUGCUUGGAAAUGAAAAGAACUGAGGACAUCCACUCUGACUUCUGACUCAAGAUAAUGAAGCCCUCAUCCAGUGGCUGAUGGAAGCAGAGACAGACAUCCACAGAUAUACACUGAGCUGAAAUCGGGAAUUUAGUUGAAGAGAGGGAGGAAUGAAGAUCGAAGGGGUCAGUACCAGGUUGGAGAAACCCACAGGAACAGUUGGCUGGAACAAGGGAGAGCACAUCGACCCCAGAUGCUGUCUGGGAGGCCAGUACAAGACUGAUCCAGACCCCUGAACAUGGAUGUCAAUAAGGAGGCCUCUGCACUCCAGGGAGCCUCUGGUGGUGGAUUAGUAUUUUUCCCUGGUACAAGAAGGGACUUUGAG